UACAGAGGUCUCAAGCGUUGUUCGGAUUCAUUGGGCGUAAAGGGUGCGUAGGUGGCGCUGUAAGUCAGGUGUGAAAUUUCGGAGCUUAACUCCGAAACUGCAUUUGAUACUGCGGUGCUUGAGGACUGGAGAGGAGACUGGAAUUCACGGUGUAGCAGUGAAAUGCGUAGAUAUCUGGAGGAACACCGGUGGCGAAGGCGGCGUUCUGGACUGCAACUGACACUGAGGAACGAAAGCCAGGGGAGCAAACGGG
rnacentral:rRNA from 1 species